AACGGGGGCGGGGCGGGGGCGCCGCCGCGCGCGGGGCGCCGUAGCGCGCCGGUGCCGGCCCGCGUCGCGCGUCCCCUUGGCUCUUUUCCGCGUUGUUUUCGGCCGCUGCUGCAGGACGUGCGGCCCCUUCGCGGGGAGUCUUUCGCGGCGCCGCUGGCUGCUGCCGCAUCGGAUCGCAUUGCUCCCAGGCCUGGCUGGGCCGGGCCGCCCUAGCGGCCUACACCGGGCCGGGCCGAACGGGAGGAGCUGCCGCGGCCUGCCGCGCCCCCCUUCCAUAAGGACGUGUGAGGCACUGCGGUGGGAAGGGCAGUCUGGCUGUGCUGGGUUCCGAGGGGUAUUGGCUUGACUGUGGUGGGGGGUCUAGAGCAGAGUCUGAGUCAUGUCCAUCAGGCCCUGCAAACUCCAGUGGUGAAAUGGCAAUCGGUGUCAUUCCCACUUGUGAGGAGUGUUGGGAUCUAUUCUGUGGCCUUCUGUGGGGUAGGGGGUGACUCGGGUGAGGAGAACCACCUGUGUCUGUGCUGGUGUGGGAGGGGAGUGGUGGGAAAAUGUGUUUCUGUAGUCCUGUUUUAUGUUUUUCUUGCAGCAACACUGCUUGAAAGCACCGCUUUUGACUGGCUGGUGGUCCUAUUAAAUUGGAUGAAUUGAGGAGUAGCCUUGUCUUAUGGCAACUAGGGAGCUGCAUUUGAAAGUGAGGAGAUAGAUUAUGAAGCCAGCCCCUGGUAUCAGCACAGGGGCUGCUGAAUGAGCAGGGUCAGGUGCAGAUGGCAGUGGACUGUGAUGUAGGAGGGCUGGGAGUACUAAGAAUGGUGUGUGUGCUGGAGGUGUUAGGUGGCAGAGGGAUGGAAAGUCACAUUUAGUAGGUUUUUUGGUAAAGAGUCUCUGACUGCCUCUGACUACCUACUACAGUUGUUUCAUGUACUGUCCACAUACAAUGGCAAGGGGGAAUUUUUCCCUAUCCUGUAACUGAGCAAACUAUAAAGCCUGUGUCUUGGAGACACUUGCUUCCUGUCACUAAUAUUACUGAAAUGCAGGGUUUUCUGGUUCAUUCUGCCUGGAUAGCGUGGCAGGUCCUGACUGUGCGGGCAGUGAUGCCUGAGUUGUGUGCCAGGCCUAAGCUACAGCUGCCUGUCCAGCAAGAGCUGCAGUGUGCUGCUCAGAGAUAAGAAGUAGGAUCUAAGCAGCAGGACUAGUCUAGAUGGGUACCUGUGUUUUGGUUGUUAAGAGCCUGCAGUGUAAGUGCACAGUGAGCAGUAGAGUCAGAGGAUGCGUACAUUAGGCGACUGUUGGCACCAUCUUGCUUCGUCAGUCGGAUGGCAGAAUAUAUGGUGCUCUUCUCUGCACCAGCAAAGUCCGAGUCCUGCUUCAUAGAGAAUGAUCAAAUACCAGAACAAUGGCUUUUUAGUCAGGAUGUGGUGUCACAGAGAGUCAACCGGGUGACUUGGGGAUUGUCCUGGCACAUGCAGUGGAAAGGGAGGAUGGCCUCAUAGGAUGGCUGGUUUGUGAGCAGAUGAAGGUUAGGGCUAGGUGAGCGCAGCUGGGAUAAUGUGCGGUGGCCCAAUAUGGAGAAAAACUUGAGCACUUUUUCUUUCCUAACAGGAAGAACAAGGUGGUUCUUCACUGGAUGGUAAUGCCUAUGGAAAUCAUGUUGUUACAGGUGCCAAAGAUUGGACGAUGCUCGGCAGAGGCGAUUGGCAGUGGAGGGAGAGUCUUAUUGACUGGCCUGGCUGCAGUUACAUCAAACACCUCUGUUCUGACUUGGUGACUCAGGCACAGGGCUCUGGGUGUGUAAUCCAGGCCACUCCUGCUGUCUGUUUGUGGUAGUGGGAAGGCAUCCUAUGUCUCCCACUGUCCUGGCCAGACUCAAUCUCCUGUUGGAGUUUUGCAGAGUCACAGCACUCCAUGUUCCCAUCCCAGUAAGACAAGCACAAGCUAGCCCUUGACUGCAAUUUAUUCUCAGUUAAUGCAGAUAAUGUUAGAUUCCAUUAUGGGUAACAGCAAGGCCUGGCCAGGCAUCGCCAAAACUUGCUCGGAUGCACCACUGGCACUACUGGAUGCCAAUGUAGUGCAUGCUGCACUGGGGUCCCCCCUGCUGAGGGCAUUUGGGGUUAAGCAUCUGAAAGGGGCUAUGCAAGAGGAACAGUAAAAUGCAGGAGGAAUAGUGAAAUACCGUGACUGAACACAGGGUUCCUCCCCAGCCUGGGCCUGUGGGUGCAUUCUCGCUCUUGCAGAUACAGACGCCCUGGAGCUGUAGGGAAACAGGUAAGCAGGCCCACAAGCGGACUUUGGGCACAGCGGCGUGCAGAGAGCUCUGUUCAGCAGGUGAAUGGGGUUGGAGCAUGGCAAGGGCUGUUCCAGGCUGUCUGGAUCCAUCCAGUUCCACUCCCUGUCCCUCUGUCCAGUGCUCCAUUCUUCUCUUUCUUUCCCCGUGGCUCCAUCCGGUGCCCCAUCCCUUUGUUUAGCUACUCAUUCCUGUGCCCAGCUCGCCAUCCCUCUGUACUCUUUCCAUCCCUCUGUCAAUAUCUACAUCCCUCUAACUGGCUCCCUGUCGCUCUAUCCAGCUCUUCAUCGUCCUCUUCCUCUCCCUAUCCCACUACCUGCCCGCUCUCCCUCUGUCCAGCUCCCUGUCCCUCUGCUGCUCUCGUCUGCCUCUCUGUACUUCUCUUUGCCUUCCCAGCCCUCUGUCCACCUCUCCGGCCUUCUCUUUCUAUUUCCGUCCCUCUGCUCAGCUCCUCAUCCAUCUAUUUGCCUCCCUGUCCCUCCUUUCCCCUGUUUUGUCCCAUCUGUCUGACUUCCUCCCUCUUUUUCUCUCCCCACCUUUCUGGCCAGCUUGUCAUCCUUCUCAUUCUCUUCCCAUCGCUCUGACCGGCUCCCUGUCCCUCUCUUCCCGUCCCCGUUCCUCUGUCCAGUUCUCCCCCCUUCUCUUUUGCUCUCUGUCCCUCUCCCCGCCUCCCCUUCCCUCCUUGCCCCUCUCUAUUCUUCUGCCCGCCUCCCCUUCCCUCUUUUUCUCUCUUCUGCUCCCUGGUCCUCUGUGCAGCCUCCAUCUGUGUGGCCUUCUCUCCCUCUCUUUCUAUUCCUUUGUCUAGCACCCUGACCCUGGGGCCAGGUCUCUAUCCUCUUUCUUUCUCCAUCCCUCUGCCAAGCUCUCUGACCCUCUUUUCUUCUGUUCUGUUCCCUGUCCCCGUGUCCAGUUGGAGGUCUGUCAUUGCUGUGUGUUUGGGCUGGUGUGGCGGGUGCCGAGAGGCAGUUGGUGCUCAGCAGAGCUGGUGAUCAGCAGCGCCCAGAGGGUGCCAUCAGUCGGCCUGGUUUGGGUCACGUCAGACACCUCCGCGGGGACUCUGCCUGCGGAGGCACGGGGCUGUGGGCGUGCAGCGGGGGAGCACUAGUGAGCUAGAGAUGGCAUGGGGUAUGUAGUCGACAGCGAAGAGGCUCCCGGGAAGGGUGUCACGGAGGCAGAGAGCAGCAGAGGCUCCGAGUCCUCGGGCGUUAGGACAGGUGCUUGCGGUAGGGCGGUCUGGAGCUGCUGCUGCUGUCUGUCCUACUCAUCAGCACAGUCUGCAGUUACUGCCUCUUGUCUGCCUGCGUGCAGCCAGGGCUGCCGCGUGGUGCAGCUUGACUUGUGAUCGUGAUGCUGGCAUCGAGCCCACUUUUCUGUCAGGUCUGCCUUUAUGCAAACUGGUGUCUUCCCUAUGUCUACAGCUCAACCCAUUUUGUUGAUUAGUGCUUCCCGAGGGGCUAUGUUGGGCUGUCGACAACCCUGCCCCCCUCCCCGCCGUCAUUUCCAGACAAAGGAUGCGUUGAGUUUAGGGUUCAGGGCUUAUGGCUCACUGAGAAACGAAAAGGGCUAAAUCCUUAGAUAAUAAACUGUAAGCCCUGAAGCCUAAGCAGCAGGCUGCAAACCCUUCUUUGGGCUUUGUAACCUUCCCCUGUAUCCAGCGUUCAGCUCUGUGCGCUGACCUGAGCUCUGGAUUUGAUAUGGUGCAGGCCGAUCACACUGAGACUGGCAAUGUGACAGGUGAGCUGAGAGCUGUGGAGGUGUCUUGCAGGGCUCUAGUCUGGGGUAGGGCAGAAGUGCAGACAGGUGAGAUCAGGCAUUUUCCUCUCAUCUCUGAGAUGAAUCCUAUCCCUGAAGGAAAAAGCAGAGGAGUAGGCUGUUGGCUACUCGGACACCUGCCACAUCAAGGGCAGCAGCAGGAGAUGACCCUUCCCCGAUGGACGGAUGGAUGGACGCUGGUGCGGUGGUGACUCUUCAGGCAUCACAGUUAAGGGGAAGCACGCUGACACUGAGCUCCAUGGCAGACUCGCUUCCAGGUGUUUCUGCACAGUAAAACAAUAAACAGUUGCUUUAUUCUUUGCA